rnacentral:lncRNA from 1 species
UUUUUUUGUUGGUUUAUAAUUUUAAAUUGAAUCCUAAUUUUUUAAAAUUAAACUUUAGUUUUACUUAAUAUAUAUUAUAGAGAUAUUAUAUUUACUACAAUAUCUUUUCAAAAUUAAAAAUUAAAAUAAAAUAUUGGUAAUAAAAUCUAAAUCAAAUAAUUGGAUUAAUUUCAUUUUUUAUUUUUAUAAAAGUUAAAGAUUUAAGUUUAUGGACAUAUUAUCGUGUGUUUUACUUUAUGAUGGAGGUUUUUACUUUAGCAAG